rnacentral:rRNA from 1 species
AAAAGAGGAGUGGCGAACGGGUGAGUAACACGUGGGUAACCUGCCCAUCAGAAGGGGAUAACACUUGGAAACAGGUGCUAAUACCGUAUAACAAUCGAAACCGCAUGGUUUUGAUUUGAAAGGCGCUUUCGGGUGUCGCUGAUGGAUGGACCCGCGGUGCAUUAGCUAGUUGGUGAGGUAACGGCUCACCAAGGCCACGAUGCAUAGCCGACCUGAGAGGGUGAUCGGCCACAUUGGGACUGAGACACGGCCCAAACUCCUACGGGAGGCAGCAGUAGGGAAUCUUCGGCAAUGGACGAAAGUCUGACCGAGCAACGCCGCGUGAGUGAAGAAGGUUUUCGGAUCGUAAAACUCUGUUGUUAGAGAGGAACAAGGAUAAGAGUAACUGUUCAUCCCUUGACGGUAUCUAACCAGAAAGCCACGGCUAACUACGUGCCAGCAGCCGCGGUAAUACGUAGGUGGCAAGCGUUGUCCGGAUUUAUUGGGCGUAAAGCGAGCGCAGGCGGUUUCUUAAGUCUGAUGUGAAAGCCCCCGGCUCAACCGGGGAGGGUCAUUGGAAACUGGGAGACUUGAGUGCAGAAGAGGAGAGUGGAAUUCCAUGUGUAGCGGUGAAAUGCGUAGAUAUAUGGAGGAACA